GUCUUAAUUCUAGCCUACACACCAUUCUCUUAUUUUUUUCCCCCCCAUAAAACAUUUUUACAUGUUAGUAUAGGCGAUAGAAAACUUUUUAGCGCAAUAGAUAAAGUACUGCAAAGGAAAAAUGAAAUAGAAAUGAAAUAAUCAUAAAAAUAUAAAAAAGCAAAGAAUAAAACUUUUACCUUUUGCAUAAUGGUUUAGCCAGUCUAUAUUAACAAAAAGAAUUAAGUUAUAUACCCCGAAACCAGACGAGCUACCUUAAAACAGCAUACACGAGCAAACCCUUCUCUGUGACAAAAGGGUGGGAAGAUUUUAAGGUAGGGGCAAAAAACCUAACGAGCCUGGAUAUAGCUGGUUACUUAAGAAUGAAUUUAAGUUCAACUAAAAGCACUACUAUCACUAAAAGAUAAACUUAUGCUUUUAUUUUAAUUAAUUGAGGUACAGCCCAAUUAAUAAAGGAGACAACCUAAAUAAAUAAAUAAGGAUUAUAAUAUAUUAAAGAAAUUUAUGCUGUAGGCCUAAAAGCAGCCACCAUUAAUAGCGUCAUAGCUUGAUUUAUGAACACUUAUUAUUUUAAUAAGUAAUCCAAAUUUACCAAAACAACUAAGUAAAUCUAUAACAUAGAUGAAUUACUGCUAAAAUAAGUAACAAGGAAGUAAACCUCUACAUACAUGUGUAAAUCAAAAUGAACAAAUCACCGAUAACUAAUGAUACUAAUAUUUUUAUAACGAGAAGAUAAAAUAUUUUAAAACAUUAACCCAACACAGGAGUAUUAAAGAAAGAUUAUAAGUCUGAAAAGGAACUCGGCAAAUUAGGGCUUCGCCUGUUUACCAAAAACAUUGCCUCUAGCUUAAUUAAUAUAAGAGGUACUGCCUGCCCAGUGACACUUGUUAAACGGCCGCGGUAUUAUAACCGUGCAAAAGGUAGCGUAAUCACUUGUCUCUUAAAUCGAGACCUAGUAUGAAUGGCAAAACGAGGAGCCCAACUGUCUCCUCAAACUAAUCAGUGAAAUUGACCUUUCCGUGCAGAAAGCGGAGAUAUUUAUAUAAGACGGAGAAGACCCUAUGGAGCUUCAAACCAAACAAUAACUUAUAAUAAGUAGUAUAUAUAAAGGUUUUAGGUUGGGGCGACCACGGAGAAUAACACAACCUCCGAGAUGAAAUAACUAGAAGGACACUUCAAAUAAUAAUAUAAUUGACAUAAUUGACCCGAUAUUUGAUCAACGAACUAAGUUACCCUAGGGAUAACAGCGCAAUCCUUUCAUAGAGUUCCUAUCGACGAAUGGGUUUACGACCUCGAUGUUGGAUCAGGCUCCCCAAUGGUGCAGCAGCUAUUUAAGGUUCGUUUGUUCAACGAUUAAAGUCCUACGUGAUCUGAGAUCAGACCGGAGAAAUCCAGGUCAGUUUCUAUCUAUAAAUAAUUUUUUCCAGUACGAAAGGACCGGAAAAACAAGGCCCAUGAAAAACUUAGGCCUUCUCGCCCACCCCUGAAACUAAAUUAAGGGGAACACCGAGAAAAUCAUGGGUCAAUAACGACUU
rnacentral:rRNA from 1 species